UUCCGGUUGAUCCUGCCAGAGGUCACUGCUAUCAGUGUUCGACUAAGCCAUGCAAGUCAAAUGUUCUUCGUGAACAUGGCGGACUGCUCAGUAACACGUGGAUAACCUGCCCUUAGGAUUGGCAUAACACCGGGAAACUGGUGAUAAUACCGAAUAGACCAUUUAUGCUGGAAUGCUUUUUGGUUCAAAGGCUUCGGCUGCCUAAGGAUGGAUCUGCGGCCUGUCAGGUAGUAGUGGGUGUAAUGUACCUACUAGCCUACGACGGGUACGGGUUGUGAGAGCAAGAGCCCGGAGAUGGAUUCUGAGACAUGAAUCCAGGCCCUACGGGGCGCAGCAGGCGCGAAAACUUUACAAUGCGGGAAACCGCGAUAAGGGAACCCCGAGUGCCAGUACUAAGUGCUGGCUGUCUGGAUGAAUAGAUAUCAUUUAAUAGCAAGGGCCGGGCAAGACCGGUGCCAGCCGCCGCGGUAACACCGGCGGCCCGAGUGGUAACCGAUAUUAUUGGGUCUAAAGGGUCCGUAGCCUGUUUAAUAAGUCCUUUGGGAAAUCUGGCAGCUUAACUGUCAGGCUGCUAAAGGAUACUGUUAAACUUGGGACCGGUAGACGUAGGGGGUACUCCAGGGGUAGGAGUGAAAUCUUGUAAUCCCUGGGGGACCAUCUGUGGCGAAGGCGCCCUACGAGAACGGGUCCGACGGUGAGGGACGAAAGCUAGGGGAGCAAACCGGAUUAGAUACCCGGGUAGUCCUAGCUGUAAACGAUGCUCGCUAGGUGUCAGGCACGGUGCGUCCGUGUCUGGUGCCGCAGGGAAGCCGUUAAGCGAGCCACCUGGGGAGUACGGUCGCAAGGCUGAAACUUAAAGGAAUUGGCGG
rnacentral:rRNA from 1 species